UACAGAGGUCCCAAGCGUUGUUCGGAAUUACUGGGCGUAAAGGGCUCGUAGGUGGCCGACUAAGUCGGACGUGAAAUCCCUCGGCUUAACCGGGGAACUGCAUCCGAUACUGGAUGGCUUGAGUUCGGGAGAGGGAUGCGGAAUCCCAGGUGUAGCGGUGAAAUGCGUAGAUAUCUGGAGGAACACCGGUGGCGAAGGCGGCAUCCUGGACCGACACUGACGCUGAGGAGCGAAAGCCAGGGGAGCAAACGGG
rnacentral:rRNA from 1 species